rnacentral:lncRNA from 1 species
AGCAUAAUUAUGGGAACAAGUGUACAGAAGAAUUUUUUUUUAGCUAUGUGAGAAUUUUCAUAGAUGAACUUUUUAACAAAUGUUUUCAUUUACAGGAAAAUGCAAAGAAAAUUUUCAAGUGACAGUCUUUUUUUUUUAAGUGUUUCGUAAGACAAAACAAAAAGAAUACUGUUUUUUUGAAGUUCUGGUGAGAUUGAAGUCUGACAUUUGCAGUAAUAAUAUUUAUUAAAAGCCCAUAACUACCAGGAAUAGUGACACCUCCCACCCCUCGAUUCCCAUAACAUGAAAUCUGAGUAUGCGCUGUUUGAGUGGGGCGAACGGCAUGGCAGGCUACUUUUCCAGGCCUUUGCAAGUCCAUCACCCAGGGGUGUCCUACAGACUUCUUGCAAGAUCUUCAGCCAUGAGGUGAAAGAGCCAAGACAAAGAACCACGUUCAAAGAACCUUAGCGAGAAUUUGCUUUGGGGUUUUCUUUUCUGGAAAAAAACAAGAGAAAUAAUACAUUGAAAGCAAAUGAGUUCCCACCUCCUCCGGUUCCCCAUGUGGAGUUCAGAGAUCAUUUCCUGCAUUGUCACCGCUGAACGAGGAACCUGGGCAGCCAGGGCGUGAUUAGAUUUAGACUCGCGCCGAGUGUGCAGUGCAGAUCCGUGUGCCGGCGUUCAGACGGGCACUCUUCCCGGUGGCAGCCACGCCGUGCUGUCACAUUGCAUUUCUUGCAGACUCUAAAUCUACGGAGUAGUGAACAACGACCUCAUUUUAUUUUCUAUGCUUCUCUAGAAAUGCAGCUUUUAUUUAUUACCCCAUUUCUUUCAAAUUUAGAAGAAAAGAUCCUGUUUCCAUUCGAAAGGAACUGUAAGCUUUGAUCUUUUAACCAACUGAACACACCAAAAGCAGCCCCGGGAUGAGCAUUUUUUGGAAAGCAAUUAGGUUACUCACCUGGUAUUAAAGCUGUUUACUACUAAGAAAAUAUCUGACUUUAAGUUAAAAGGCAGCAUCAAAAACUGAAAAGGGAAAAAAUAAAUAGCUUCUCUGUACUCGUUCGGAGCUCCCCGAAACAGGAGCCGUGGAGAGGAGACGUCGAGACCCGGCUGCCCUUGGGGACCACCCUGUGCUCCAGAGGCGUGCUCGCUGCCCGAGCACUCAGCACCUCUCCCCCGGCCCUGGAAAGACGUGGUGGAGCCCGCGGAGCAGCACCUCCCACUCCUCUCUCUUGUUCUGAAUGGUGUUCGUGUCAGUCUGCAGCUGUGUAUGGUAUUACGUCUUAUAAUCCUGCAUCACUUCUAGCCUAUCCAGUCAUAUCUAAUGUAGAAAAUUAGUUUCCAGUGAAAGUAAUAUGUAGUGCUUUUAUGAUAUUUGUGUGCAAUAUCCCCUCUUCCAUUGAGGAUAUUUGAUGUAAAAGAAAAAAAACUCAGUUCCACAAUAAAAUACAAAAGUGGCAAAAGCUAA